CGGUAAUACGGAGGUUCCGGGCGUUAUCCGGAAUCAUUGGGUUUAAAGGGUCCGCAGGCGGUCAAUUAAGUCAAACGUGAAAUCCCCUAUCUUAACUAUGGAACUGCCUUUGAUACUGGUUGACUUGAGUUAUUUGGAAGUAGGUAAAAUGUGUAGAGUAGCGGUGAAAUGCAUAGAUAUUACACAGAAUACCGAUUGCGAAGGCAGACUACUAUGCAUAAACUGACGCUGAUGGAAGAAAGCGUGGGGAGCGAACAGGAUUAGAUACCCUGGUAGUCCACGCCGUAAACGAUGGAUACUAGUUGUUGGGAUUU
rnacentral:rRNA from 1 species